GCCCGAGAGGAUCCGUCCCUGC
rnacentral:miRNA from 1 species